ensembl:lncRNA
GCUCUUUGCGACCCCACGGACUGUACCCCACCAGGCUCCUCUGUCCGUGGGAUUUCCCAGGCAAGAAUGCUGGAGCGGGUUGCGAUGACCUCCCCCUAGGGAUCUUCCCCACGCGGGGACGGGACCCAUGUCUCUUACCUCUGCUGCGCUGGAAGGCAUCAGUCAAGUGGGAGAACCUCUGAUUGAAGCAGAGCUAACCGGAUUCCUUGCGUGGGAUUUCACACAUGGAUCAUGGAAAAGAGAAGAUCUCUCUCUGCUGAAGACUCAACUGGGCCUCCUGUAUUUCUAUGUACUGGUUCUGUCCGCCCUGUCUCUCAGCUGCCUCCGCUUCUCAUGGCUGGCGGAAUAAGCUUUGAAAAUGCUGAACUGAUCUGUCAAGCUCCUGCCUAAACUGUCCAAUAUGUGUGUUUACUCUUAAGAGAAAACCCAGCUCCUUAACAUUAAGCCCUGCAGGAUCUGUUCUCUGAAGGAUUUGCCUGUGAAGUCAGUUGAUCCUGGACUUUUGUUGGGGUUUUUUUAAUCCCAGUUUCAACUUCGGUACUUGUGAUUGGCCUGCUCGUAUUUCCCAUUUCUUCCUGCUUCCUGCUCACGUGGAUGCUGGGCAUAGAGCUCAAAGUCCACAGCCCGGCCCAGGAUGGAGUCCUGCUUUCAAGAUGGAGCCUGUUGUGUUUCCGCCUUCAUACAGAC